AGAAAGCUUGCUUUCUUGCUGACGAGUGGCGGACGGGUGAGUAAUGCUUGGGAAUCUGGCUUAUGGAGGGGGAUAACGACAGGAAACUGUCGCUAAUACCGCGUAUUAUCGGAAGAUGAAAGUGCGGGACUGAGAGGCCGCAUGCCAUAGGAUGAGCCCAAGUGGGAUUAGGUAGUUGGUGGGGUAAAGGCCUACCAAGCCAGCGAUCUCUAGCUGGUCUGAGAGGAUGACCAGCCACACUGGAACUGAGACACGGUCCAGACUCCUACGGGAGGCAGCAGUGGGGAAUAUUGCGCAAUGGGGGGAACCCUGACGCAGCCAUGCCGCGUGAAUGAAGAAGGCCUUCGGGUUGUAAAGUUCUUUCGGUAUUGAGGAAGGUUGAUGUGUUAAUAGCACAUCAAAUUGACGUUAAAUACAGAAGAAGCACCGGCUAACUCCGUGCCAGCAGCCGCGGUAAUACGGAGGGUGCGAGCGUUAAUCGGAAUAACUGGGCGUAAAGGGCACGCAGGCGGUUAUUUAAGUGAGGUGUGAAAGCCCCGGGCUUAACCUGGGAAUUGCAUUUCAGACUGGGUAACUAGAGUACUUUAGGGAGGGGUAGAAUUCCACGUGUAGCGGUGAAAUGCGUAGAGAUGUGGAGGAAUACCGAAGGCGAAGGCAGCCCCUUGGGAAUGUACUGACGCUCAUGUGCGAAAGCGUGGGGAGCAAACAGGAUUAGAUACCCUGGUAGUCCACGCUGUAAACGCUGUCGAUUUGGGGGUUGGGGUUUAACUCUGGCG
rnacentral:rRNA from 1 species